rnacentral:tRNA from 1 species
GGUCCUGACUAGCUCAACUGGUAGAGCAUGGCAUUAGCGUUGCCAGGGUUAGGGGUUCGAUUCCCAUUGGGACCA